CCCCAAAUUUGGGUUUGGGGAGUGUCAAAGGUCAAUGGGCAGUGUCCAAAGGGGUCAAAGGUCAAGUGGGCAGUGCCAGGAGGGUGCUGGAAGGGUCAGGGAUGGUCAGUGGUCACUCAGGGCAGUGUCCAGAGGGGUCAGGGGUCAUUGGUCACUGUCAGGGAUGGUCAAUGGUCACUGUCAGGGAUGGUCAGUGGUCACUCAGGGCAGUGUCCAGAAGGGUCAGGGGUCAUUGGUCACUGUGAGGGAUGGUCAGUGGUCACUCAGGGCCGUGUCCAGAGGGGUCAGGGGUCAAUGGUCACUGUGAGGGAUGGUCAAGGAUGGUCAGAGAUGGUCAGGGUGGGUCAGUGGUCACUCAGGGGUCACUGUCAGUGAUGGUCAGUGAUCAAUGGUCACUCUCAGGGAUGGUCAUUGGUCACUGAGGGAUCACUGUCAGUGAUGGUCAGUGGUCAAUGGUCACUACCAAGGAUGGUCACUGAGGGGUCACUAUCGGGGAUGGUCAGUGAUGGUCAGCAAUGGUCAGGGUGGGUCAAUGGUCACUCAGGGCAGUGUCCAGAGGGGUCAGUGAUCAAUGGUCACUAUCAGGGAUGGUCAGGGAUGGUCAGCGAUGGUCAGUGAUGGUCAGGGAUGGUCAGUGGUCUCUCAGGGGUCACUGUCAGUGAUGGUCAGUGGUCAAUGGUCACUACCAAGGAUGGUCAUUGGUCACUGAGGGGUCACUAUCGGGGAUGGUCAAGGAUGGUCAGUGAUGAUCAGCGAUGAUCAGUGAUGGUCAGUGAUAAUCAGUGAAUGGUCAGUGAUGGUCAGGAUGGGGAUGGUCACUCAGGGGUCACUCAGGGCAGUGUCCGGAGGGG
rnacentral:lncRNA from 1 species